CUACGGGCGGCUGCAGUGAGGAAUAUUGCACAAUGGGGGGAACCCUGAUGCAGCAACGCCGCGUGGAGGAUGACGCAUUUCGGUGUGUAAACUCCUUUUAUAUGUCAAGAAAAUGACGGUAGCAUAUGAAUAAGCACCGGCUAACUCCGUGCCAGCAGCCGCGGUAAUACGGAGGGUGCAAGCGUUACUCGGAAUCACUGGGCGUAAAGGACGCGUAGGCGGGUUGGAAAGUCAGGUGUGAAAUCCUACAGCUUAACUGUAGAACUGCACUUGAAACUUCUAACCUAGAGUAUGGGAGGGGGAGAUGGAAUUAGUGGUGUAGGGGUAAAAUCCGUAGAUAUCACUAGGAAUACCGAAAGCGAAGGCGAUCUCCUGGAACAUUACUGACGCUAAGGCGUGAAAGCGUGGGGAGCAAACGGGAUUAGAUACCCUAGUAGUC
rnacentral:rRNA from 1 species